rnacentral:tRNA from 1 species
UGCAUUGGCCGGGAAUCGAACCCGGGGUGCCCGCGUGGCAGGCGAGCAUUCUACCACUGAACCACCGAUGG